ensembl:lncRNA
GUUAGAUACAAUUCCCUCCCUUAAGCUUCAUAGUUUACCAUACCGAAACAUGCCUACUUUAACAAAUAAAGUGAGUUAAAAGCAACCCGGGAUUGGACUAUUUUCUUCGAAGAAUGCUGCAAUAAUUUGGUGACCCCCGACGUUUGGAAGAAAGUCCCGAGAAUCCCGGCGGGCGCGACGCUAUAACAACUUCAACAGACCACACACGUCUGAGGUGUCAGACGUAGGAUUGUGGCACUCCUUGGGAGCCCCCGAGCCACACGUCAACUGCACCAGGUGUCAAGACAUAGGAUUGUGGCACUCCUUUGGAGCCUCCGAGCCACGCGUCAACCGACUAAUCGUUCCUGCAGUGUUCUGGAGUGGUGACGGUGGAGCUCAAUGGGAGGCUCCGGGAGAGUUGGCAAUCACGGGCUCACACAGGGAGUGGUGACGGUGGAGCUCAUGGGGAGGCUCCGGGAGAGUUGGCAAUCGCGGGCUCACACGGGGAGAAAUCAAGUAAGUUUUCAAUCCACCGAUGCCCACAGAAUGGUAGCGGGAAGACUGAGGAUUUGGUGAGGGCAAUGAAGUCAUCCCUCCUUGCUGGUGUGUUAUGAAAAAAGGUAGUGCAUCCCCCUCAACACCUUGGUGGAAGAGAGCGGAAUGAGGAGUUAACCGUCAUCUCUGAUGGAGAAUGACUUUUACCCACCCAUGCACACACUGAUAGCACUGGUGGGACUUCUUCACUAAAAUUGUUUAAAGGAGCAAUAUAUUGCAGGCCCAUUCCCCCUGUCAUAUCAGACUGUAAAACCAGCACCGCCC